CAGGGGCUGUUGGCGUAGACAUAUUCCCGAACCUGGGGAUAAAAGAAAAACGGGGGCAAGAUCAAGGCUAGUCAUAGGUGGGCAGUAGGUAUGAAUGAGGGCCGAGGGUAGAAGCGGUGGGCUAGAACAGAAAUAACCAUAGCACAAAGGGAAAGGAGAGAUAGAAUAAUCCUGCAUCUGAAGUGUAUUUCAAACUGAAGUGAUAGAUCAAUACAGCUUGCCCCUA